rnacentral:rRNA from 1 species
UUCUAGAUGUUUUUUAUAUGGCUCAGGACGAACGCUGGCGGCGUGCCUAAUACAUGCAAGUCGAGCGGACAGAUGGGAGCUUGCUCCCUGAUGUUAGCGGCGGACGGGUGAGUAACACGUGGGUAACCUGCCUGUAAGACUGGGAUAACUCCGGGAAACCGGGGCUAAUACCGGAUGCUUGUUUGAACCGCAUGGUUCAGACAUAAAAGGUGGCUUCGGCUACCACUUACAGAUGGACCCGCGGCGCAUUAGCUAGUUGGUGAGGUAACGGCUCACCAAGGCGACGAUGCGUAGCCGACCUGAGAGGGUGAUCGGCCACACUGGGACUGAGACACGGCCCAGACUCCUACGGGAGGCAGCAGUAGGGAAUCUUCCGCAAUGGACGAAAGUCUGACGGAGCAACGCCGCGUGAGUGAUGAAGGUUUUCGGAUCGUAAAGCUCUGUUGUUAGGGAAGAACAAGUGCCGUUCAAAUAGGGCGGCACCUUGACGGUACCUAACCAGAAAGCCACGGCUAACUACGUGCCAGACCCGGGGGAAAUAAAG